GAUGAACGCUGGCGGCGUGCCUAAUACAUGCAAGUCGAGCGAACAGAUAAGGAGCUUGCUCCUUUGACGUUAGCGGCGGACGGGUGAGUAACACGUGGGUAACCUACCUAUAAGACUGGGAUAACUUCGGGAAACCGGAGCUAAUACCGGAUAACAUUUGGAACCGCAUGGUUCUAAAGUGAAAGAUGGUUUUGCUAUCACUUAUAGAUGGACCCGCGCCGUAUUAGCUAGUUGGUAAGGUAACGGCUUACCAAGGCGACGAUACGUAGCCGACCUGAGAGGGGGAUCGGCCCACUGGGACGUGAGACACGGCCCAACCCCCUAGGGGGGGCACAGGUGGGGAAUUUUCCCAAAGGGGCGAAAGCCUGACGGAGCAACGCGGGGGGGGGGAUAAAGGGUUUCGGCUCGUAAAACUCUUUUAUUGGGGAAAAAAAAACGUGUAAGUAACUGUGCAGGUCUUGAAGGUACCUAAUAAGAAAGCCACGGCUAACUACGU
rnacentral:rRNA from 1 species